rnacentral:rRNA from 1 species
GGUCUGGUGGCCAUGGCACGAGGUAAACACCCGAUCCCUUCCCGAACUCGGAAGUUAAGACCCGUCGCGCUGAUGGUACUGCGUCUCAAGACGUGGGAGAGUAAGUCACCGCCAGACCUG